rnacentral:lncRNA from 1 species
UUGCAGUUAUUCCUUCUUUUCCUGGUUGCUAUGUUUCUCAUGAUCCCUUUAUUCACGAUGCUGCUUACUAUGCACUUUCGAGGUUUACUUGCAGGAUUUUCUUCGAGUCCAGCCGACCUUCCAGGAGUCUAUGGAGCGCAGAACACUAUUCUCGAAAUGAUACACCAGGGCCUCCAGAUGUCCCGUUCCUGAACGAGCUGUGCAUCGAAGACUGUCCAGUCCGAGUCCAGUGGGACGUGGCGCUGAACACCACUCAUCCUGUGGCCGUGUCCAGCAGCACUUCCACAUUCAACCGCCGAUACUCCUCUUCCCCAUGCCUGUCUCCCAUUGCUACUCGUGACAAGGACAUGUAGCUGGCUCCUGCAGACUGGUUCUAAUGUAUACGUUUCUGAGGUC